rnacentral:tRNA from 1 species
UACUUUUAUAGGAUAAUAGAACUCCGUUGGUCUUAGGAAUCAAAAAAUUUGGUGCAACUCCAAAUAAAAGU